rnacentral:rRNA from 1 species
GACGAACGCUGGCGGCGUGCCUAAUACAUGCAAGUCGAGCGAAUCUUGAGGUGCUUGCACCUCUUGGUUAGCGGCGGACGGGUGAGUAACACGUGGCAACCUGCCUGUAAGACUGGGAUAACUUCGGGAAACCGGAGCUAAUACCGGAUAAUCCUUUUCCUCUCAUGAGGAAAAGCUGAAAGUCGGUUUACGCUGACACUUACAGAUGGGCCCGCGGCGCAUUAGCUAGUUGGUGAGGGAACGGCUCACCAAGGCGACGAUGCGUAGCCGACCUGAGAGGGUGAUCGGCCACACUGGGACUGAGACACGGCCCAGACUCCUACGGGAAGCAGCAGUAGGGAAUCUUCCGCAAUGGACGAAAGUCUGACGGAGCAACGCCGCGUGAGCGAUGAAGGCCUUCGGGUCGUAAAGCUCUGUUGUUAGGGAAGAACAAGUAUCGGAGUAACUGCCGGUACCUUGACGGUACCUAACCAGAAAGCCACGGCUAACUACGUGCCAGCCGCCGCCGUAACAC